UACGAAGGGGCUAGCGUUGCUCGGAAUUACUGGGCGUAAAGGGAGCGUAGGCGGACAUUUAAGUCAGGGGUGAAAUCCCGGGGCUCAACCUCGGAAUUGCCUUUGAUACUGGGUGUCUUGAGUAUGAGAGAGGUGUGUGGAACUCCGAGUGUAGAGGUGAAAUUCGUAGAUAUUCGGAAGAACACUAGUGGCGAAGGCGACACACUGGCUCAUUACUGACGCUGAGGCUCGAAAGCGUGGGGAGCAAACAGGAUUAGAUACCCCUGUAGU
rnacentral:rRNA from 1 species